rnacentral:misc_RNA from 1 species
AAUUCUCAACCCAAAGAAUUUUUUUUAUUCUGCGGGCUUGGACUUGGGGGCUUGUGUCGGCUCUAGCUCAGUCGACUCCUCUAAAAUGUAUUAGCGUGAAUCUUACGGAUCGCCUUCAGUGUGAUAAUUAUCUGCGCUGUGGCUGUGAAGUAUUUAAUUGACUCAUGCUUACAAUCGUCUCUUGGGAGACAGUUUAUAUGAC